rnacentral:rRNA from 1 species
UGCGCAGGCGGUGCUGUAAGACAGGCGUGAAAUCCCCGGGCUCAACCUGGGAAUGGCGCUUGUGACUGCAGUGCUGGAGUGCGGCAGAGGGGGAUGGAAUUCCGCGUGUAGCAGUGAAAUGCGUAGAUAUGCGGAGGAACACCGAUGGCGAAGGCAAUCCCCUGGGCCUGCACUGACGCUCAUGCACGAAAGCGUGGGAGCAAACA